GGGGAAUAUUGCACAAUGGGGGAAACCCUGAUGCAGCGACGCCGCGUGAGGGAAGAAGGUUUUCGGAUUGUAAACCUCUGUCCUCUGUGACGAUAAUGACGGUAGCAGAGGAGGAAGCCACGGCUAACUACGUGCCAGCAGCCGCGGUAAUACGUAGGUGGCAAGCGUUGUCCGGAAUUACUGGGUGUAAAGGGAGCGUAGGCGGGAAUGCAAGUUAGAUGUGAAAUACCAGGGCUCAACCCUGGGGCUGCAUCUAAAACUGCAUUUCUUGAGUGAAGUAGAGGCAAGUGGAAUUCCUAGUGUAGCGGUGAAAUGCGUAAAUAUUAGGAGGAACACCAGUGGCGAAGGCGACUUGCUGGGCUUUAACUGACGCUGAGGCUCGAAAGCGUGGGUAGCAAAC
rnacentral:rRNA from 1 species